UACGGAGGGUGCGAGCUUUGUCCGGAUUUAUUGGGUUUAAAGGGUGCGUAGGCGGCUGUCUAAGUCAGGGGUGAAAGCCCGUUGCUCAACAACGGAACGGCCUUGGAUACUGCACAGCUUGAGUACAGACGAGGUGGGCGGAAUGGACAGAGUAGAGGUGAAAUGCAUAGAUACGGUCCAGAACCCCGAUUGCGAAGGCAGCUGACUAGGCUGAUACUGACGCUGAGGCACGAAAGCGUGGGGAGCGAACAGG
rnacentral:rRNA from 1 species